UUGAGAUUAGUUGUUUUUAUUGCUGCAUUUUAAAGUUAACAAACACCCUCACUUUAACAGUGAUGAUGCAUUCCUCAGUAGGGGUGAUGUUUGUGGGGCGGUUUCAGCAUGUUUCUCAUAAAGUGUCCCAUGUAUGGUGGUUAUUAGUCUUCAACAUGGCUGUUUGGGGUUCGAUUCCUGACCCUGGGACAUUUGCAUCAUGUCUACCCUUUUUCUCUCUCUAUUCAUUUUGUCUGUUCCACUGCAAUAAAAGCCACCAGUGCCAGGAAAACCUUAAAAAAUGAAUGAGCGCUUUAGGCUUGUAACAAUGCUGCUUUAGAGACAUUACCCAGUCAGAAUCCUCUUAAACACAAUCCAAAUUUAAUACUAACAAACAUGUAAAGAAACAUGAAUUAAAUAAAAAUUUUUUUUACAUCUUUUCCCAUAUGUAUUAUGUUGUGACUACAAUAAUUCCAUUGUUUUUUCUUCACAAGAAAAAACUUGUCAAAGCAUGACAAAUGAGCCGUCUCGGGAAGCAAAUGUGAAAAUUAUUCCCCUCCUUUAACACGGGACUGUGAAUUACAUCGCAGGUGAUCUCGUCCUCAAUGCUGUCAAAUGGCAAAGAAGAGUUGGAUGUGCAGCUGCUGUUACUGUUUCAGCACACAGUUUCCUCAUGUGCUGUGAUUCCUUUAUUUUCUGCUCCUAAAUAAGCACUCUCUUGCACACGCGUACGCAUCAAUGCAGACACCAACAUAAACGCAAGCGAUGUAAUUUACAGCUACAUCAGCAACAAUCUCAGGCCCAGGGAGAGAGAAUAUGAAAAAACAGGACAAACACAUGAGACCCCCUGGGAACAAUAGUCAUCUGUCUUUAUUUACAGCUAGGGCAUGUAGAUAGAAGACAGAUUGCAAGGGCACAGAGAAGGUAGAUAAUUUAAAAUAUAUCUCAUAAGGUAUUGUGAUUGAUGAGCAACAUCCCUAUAAAAACUUGGUUGUUAAAACCUUGUCGUGUAAACUGAGAUGCCUCAUAUAUAGGAAAGCUUGAUAUGAGCGUUUUUCUGUCUGCUACUUAACGAAGUAUUAAAAAAUGCUUAACAAAAGGAUGCCAGAGCCUGAAGAACUUAGCCGGACUUAUUAAAUUAAGCUAUAAUGAGGACAUAAUGAUGAAAAUGAUUGGUGGAAAGCAGAAAAUAUCAUUAGAGAAAGGUUGGAUGAGCUCUUAAAGUCCCAGCGAGCAACUACAGCUGUCUUCUGCUCCCACAGGGGUUCUACAAUUGCAGAUGCAACAGGGCAUGUUGUGAGCUCACCUCUCCCCUCAAAACAGAGACAUCUGUCUCCCCACACAAGCCAUAUGCUGUGUAACGCCAGCUCUCUCUAGUCUCCAUCCCCUUGUUUCACUUUCAUGUCUUUUUCUCUUUCUGUCGCCCAUCUUGCUGUCUUUGAUGUAGCGCCAGAAGCUGGCAAAAGUUCCUGCUCCAGGGCUUCAUGGGCAUGCUGUCCCUCUCUGUAACUGUCCGCUCUAAACCAGCUUACACACACGCACGCACACACAGAGACGUACAUUAUUAAACAGCACAUUCUUUAUCAUCCAAAGUUUAUGUCACCAAAAUCAGAUGUGAAUUUCCACCAAUCAGUGGGCUGUAUUCCUUCAUUGUACCUUUGAAAUCAAUUGUGAGACUGGACCUGUCAUGAUGUCAACACAGUGAGCACCAAUAUUAUACUUUUUGCUUUUACGUAGGGUUAUCAUCCGUGCUUCGUUAAUGGUCCUGCCCGUCAUUACUGCGGUUAGCUGGAUGGGUGUAGGUGGCAUAAAAUCCAUAACCGAGCGGAGCCUAUUUCACAUUGAUUUAAACAUUAACAUUGACUUGUUUGUUCUCGUACAAGCUUUCUGAUUGUGCUUGAGAAUUCUGCUUUUGAAGUCGUUCGGCAGAGGAAAGUAGCAUUCUACUAUCAAACAUAAUUUUCAAGACUCAAGAAAAUACUUAAUUAUCUAACAAUUAACAAUUCUUAUGAUGUCAUACACAUGAGGCAACGACACGAUUUGCUGUAUCUAAAUUGUCUAAAUCCUAUUGUUGGAUCUCAGUAUUUGUUGUGGGUAUUUGUUUGGUGGUAUUUUAUGUUUUUCUUGUGUACUCUGAUUCAUGGACCUUUAAGGGACAAAGCUGCUGAAGUGAACUAAGGUGAUGUUUAACAGUGUGGCUUGUACAGCCAGUCGGAGGUCUGUGGAGUUAUCUGAAGGAGCGGAGAGCCAGAUUAGGAGAGUCUUCAUGUAAUAAUGAGGGUGGACCCCACAUAUCGCCCCAGCAAGGAUAAGCAACUGCAGAGCAGCAUCAGUGUGUGAAUGUGUGUGUAAAUGGGUAAAUGACUGAACGUAAUAUGAGGCGCUAUGGGGUCCUCUGGACUUGAUAAAGUGCUAAUCAAGUGCAGACUCUUUAUCAUUUUAAAUGUAUGGAUUAUUACUCACAGGUGAAGAGGCCAUGACUCAAAAGGGUUACUAUGGAUCCAAGAGUGGUAAAGCUCAGUGGACGGGAGGAGAGCUUUAUUUUUAAGAUCAUGUUUGAUUGUCUUUUUAAUUGUGAUUUUCUGAUGCUUGGGUAGAUUUCUGCCUAAUGGGAUCACUUGUCUUUUUUUUUUUUUAGAGUUGUCCAAAGUUCUGCAGGAUGGGAAGCAAUUACAUUUGCAAAAUGGAAAAAAAAACUUAUCUCAUUGAUCUGAAAAGCAUAAUGUCAAUUUAACUGUAUAUAAUUGGAAGCAACUGAAGCAUGUAAAUCACAUUGCUUGGAUGUAGUAAAAUCCCACAAAAAUCUCGAUUUUUCUUAAACUUAUUUUAUUGUUAAACUUCUUGUUUAAACCGAAGACCAUUUAAAAUGUCUUUCCAUUCCCACAGGAACCCGAUCGUAAUGAAGUCCUCUGUAUGAAAGCUACUCUGUGCUUUAAGAUACAUUACCAAUAUCAAAAUGAGUUUCUAAAAACAAAUUGGAUCACAAACAUCUGACCGAACAAACAAGCAGAUGCCCAAUUAUUAUCAGACACAGAUUCUUUAUUCACAGACAGAAUGAAGACAGAGCCACAGAUGUGGCUUGGGCUUUCAUAUUUCUCUAUCUUAGGAAUCCAUUUAAGCCAUGCACCUGCCCACCAGAGGAUUUAGACUGAGCAUCUACAGCCUGUCUGUCACGCUGCACUGCCCCGGUGCACAUCACACACACACACACAUACACACACCUACACACACAAAGCCUGUCUGUGGGUUUGCCUAUUUUCACAUUCAUUCAUAAGGCAUGCAACCGAUUUUUGGUUAUCGGAAAGUGAGGGGAUAUGUCUGUCCCACUGUGUGCGGUUGUUUGAAAGAACAGCCUCACAUAAUGAGAUAAAAAGUUUCAUGUAGCUCCAUUUCUAGGUAAUCUUUGUGUUAAAGAAACUGUUUGGUGUUGCAGUUAGCGUAGCUGUGCACAUUGCCGCCGUAGUUCCAACAGAGUUGUAAGAAAUGACUUCUGUACCAGCCCAAUAUGGGCAUGAUCAGAUAGCAUCAACUUGAGGCCAACGUGGCUAGGCUUUAAAAUGUUCAAUUGAUGUGCAAAUGCUUGCAGGCCUUGUGUUGUGGAUUCAUUGGCACUUCUGCGAUUAAACUCUUCCAUGUAGAACCCACCGACAAACACUCAUCACAGAUGAGUCCAUGCUGAAAACAGGAUGCUCUCACAGGUCACGCAAUCCUUAAGGAGCUCACUACUUUCUUGGUACGCUCCUCAAGACGUCUCCAACAACCCAGAGAGAGCACUUAUGUUCUCUCUGAUUGCUUUAUAUUGUGGUUUGGUCUAAACCUGGUGUGAAUGGGGUCUCAGUGAGGAUUGGCAAUGGUUUGAAGAAACAUAAGGAAACAUAAACACGAUAUUCUCAAUCUGAGAAGUUUAAGGAUUUUCAUUCAGAGGUCUCUGACAUAAUGAAGUAGAAAUAGGUCAUCAGUUUAGGACCACAAAACAGAUUUGUUAUGAACAUAACGGUUGAAAAGAGGGCGAGACAAGUAGAAUUAUUUGGUGAAAAUCUGAAACUUUGCGGUGUGUUAUCACAAAAUCCUACACAGUGCUCCUCUAUAGAAGAAUGGAUUGUUUCUGUUAACGUGUUCAGAUGCUCUCCUACGCUUUUAUUUGCUCUGUUGCUUUCUUUCUCUUAGGUAUACCUCUUUGUCCAGUGAAUCCAUUUGUCUUUUGCUGCAAUUUCUCUGUGGGCUCAAUCAGCAGUGAGCUCUGGAGGAAAGAUUAUAGCCCUUAGCAAGGCUCAGCUGCUAGAAAGGAGAGAACAGUCAUGGAGAGGAUGAUAGGGACUUAACCUGAGGUGGGAGAGAAGGUUGUGUUUGUGGGAAGUGGAGGGUGAUGGUGAAGUGAGGCGAGUGGUCGAAAAGGAAAUGGGAUGAAGUGAAAAAUUGGCAAAUAAACCUGCUAAUGAAAGACCAUAAGAAGUAGGUGGGAGAGUGAGAAACGACAUUCAUCUGUCUGUCUUCUAUACCGGCUUGUUCACAAAGGAUUGGAGAGGGGCUGGUGUCUAUCUCCAACAGUCAUUGACCAAGAGGUGGAGUAAAGCCUGGAUUGGUCGCCAGAGAAUAACACAAAGAUGAUAAGAAGUAAAACAAACAAAAAAAAAAACAGCCGUUUCUCGUAUAAUAGGCCUGGCAAUGAAAAUAAAAAAGCGAACCAAAUACUUUUUCCUAUUUGUAUACAUUUAUCUGUCUGUCAGUGAAGGAACCCUGUACACGUUGCUUUCUUGACAGUUUAGUGAUAGUGACGUUAAACCUGUGUGUCUGACAUUUGAACCACACAUUAGUUUUUGCGGACAGUUACCUUCUGGCUGUAAAGCAAGAUGGAUCACUCACCUCACUGUGGCCAGCUUAUGCCGUAUGCAUGAGGUUGUUUUAUUUAGGAACUCCAAUCUAUCAGUGUUACUGUGUCCUUGUGUCCUCAUAUUGUGCUCAUUGCUCAAUGGCGUAUUUAUUGUAACAUAGUAAUAACUAGUGGGUAACCAAAACACCGGGAGGACAACACAUCAGCACAGGAAAUAGAUAAAUCAUUUUUUUCUUGCACAAUUGUCAAUUUCAGGGAUCAAAAAUUUAGGGUAUUUGUUGAUUUUUUAUUUUUUUUUUAGAAUCACCAACAGAUGGGAAAAAAAAUUUUAAACUGUACUAAUGUGAUGUAGGUCACACCACAGACCACUAAAGAGCAGCCAGGCAACAGGUGGCAGCUGGCUGAACAAAGGAGAGGAGCAGGUGUAUCCUUCCCUCUGUCUGUUUCUCUGGAAUCAGAACCGGUGAUACAGAUGCCAUACAACACACGACUUGGCAACGGAGGAUGACAUAUUACUCUGAAAUUGUUGCCCAAAAAAAAAAUCCCCUUGUCUACGUGUCUGAAGCAGGUGCUGAGAUAUUUUCAGCUUGGAGGAUACUUGUCAUAGUUUGAUGUUUUUCUACCUUGCUGUCUUUUUGUGCUAUCCUUCUUUUGUUUCCUUUUAGUCUGCCUUUCCUGUCUGACUCCCUCCCUUUAUGUUCAUGGAGAUGUAGCUCCCCGUUCCUUGGAAGUCACCUGUUAGACUCAUCAGACUCAUCACACAGCAAUAUAACCUUAAUGGGCACUUUAUCUGGUGCCAGUCAGUAAUCGGGUUGGACUCUUUCACAAUGCCUAGAAACCUAAAUAUGUCAAAUUGCUGCUGUGUGAUUUGAUUGCCUGAGUCUCUGAUUGUAAUCACAAGCGUUUGCAAAUGUAACAACGUUGUAGUUGACUUUACUCUUUGUUACUUAUUUCAUUGUAUAAAAUCAAGUCAAAUCAA